rnacentral:rRNA from 1 species
GAUGAACGCUGGCGGCGUGCCUAAUACAUGCCAGUCGAGCGAACAGACGAGGAGCUUGCUCCUCUGACGUUAGCGGCGGACGGGUGAGCAACACGUGGAUAACCUACCUAUAAUACUGGGAUAACUUCGGGAAACCGGAGCUAAUACCGGAUAAUAUAUUGAACCGCAGGGUUCAAUAGUGAAAGACGGUUUUGCUGUCACUUAUAGAUGGAUCCGCGCCGCAUUAGCUAGUUGGUAAGGUAACGGCUUACCAAGGCGACGAUGCGUAGCCGACCUGAGAGGGUGAGCGGCCACACUGGAACUGAGACACGGUCCAGACUCCUACGGGAGGCCGCAGUAGGGAAUCUUCCGGAAUGGGCGAAAGCCUGACGGAGCAACGCAGCGUGAGUGAUGAAGGUCUUCGGAUCGUAAAACUCUGUUAUUAGGGAAGAACAAAUGUGUAAGUACCUAUGCACGUCUUGACGGUACCUAAUCAGAAAGCCACGGCUAACUACGUG